rnacentral:rRNA from 1 species
CAGCAGCCACGGGAAUACGGAGGGAGCUAGCGUUGUUCGGAAUUACUGGGCGUAAAGCGUGCGUAGGCGGUUCGUUAAGUCUGUUGUGAAAGCCCCGGACUCAACCUGGGAAUGGCAAUGGAUACUGGCGAGCUAGAGUGUGUCAGAGGAUGGUGGAAUUCCCGGUGUAGCGGUGAAAUGCGUAGAGAUCGGGAGGAACACCGAUGGCGAAGGCAAUCCCCUGGGCCUGUACUGACGCUCAUGCACGAAAGCGUGGGGAGCAAACAGGAUUAGAUACCCGCGUAGUCCCUGUCUCUUAUAC